AUCUAGCUGACGAGUUCUAAAUAGGACGAAGUGCGUGUCCUGGAU
rnacentral:hammerhead_ribozyme from 1 species